UGCCCUAAGGAGGGGGAUAACAGUCCGAAAGGAUUGCUAAUACCGCAUAAAGCUAUUGUUCUGCAUGGGAUGAUAGCCAAAGGAGCAAUCCGCCUUAGGAUGGGCCCGCGGCCCAUUAGCUAGUUGGUGAGGUAACGGCUCACCAAGGCGACGAUGGGUAGCCGGCCUGAGAGGGUGGCCGGCCACACUGGGACUGAGACACGGCCCAGACUCCUACGGGAGGCAGCAGUGGGGAAUAUUGCGCAAUGGGGGAAACCCUGACGCAGCGACGCCGCGUGAGCGAAGAAGGCCUUCGGGUUGUAAAGCUCUGUCUUCCCUGACGAAGCUAUGACGGUAAGGGAGGAGGAAGCCACGGCUAACUACGUGCCAGCAGCCGCGGUAAUACGUAGGUGGCGAGCGUUGUCCGGAAUUAUUGGGCGUAAAGGGUGCGUAGGCGGCUCUUUAAGUGAGGUGUGAAAACCCUGGGCUCAACCGAGGGAUGGCACUUCAAACUGGGGAGCUAGAGUGCAGGAGAGGAAAGCGGAAUUCCCAGUGUNGNNGUGAAAUGCGUAGAGAUUGGGGGGAACACCAGUGGCGAAGGCGGCUUUCUGGACUGUAACUGACGCUGAGGCNCGAAAGCGUGCGGAGCAAACAGGAUUAGAUACCCUGGUAGUCCACGCUGUAAACGAUGAG
rnacentral:rRNA from 1 species